UAGGGAAUCUUCGGCAAUGGACGAAAGUCUGACCGAGCAACGCCGCGUGAGUGAAGAAGGUUUUCGGAUCGUAAAACUCUGUUGUUAGAGAAGAACAAGGACGUUAGUAACUGAACGUCCCCUGACGGUAUCUAACCAGAAAGCCACGGCUAACUACGUGCCAGCAGCCGCGGUAAUACGUAGGUGGCAAGCGUUGUCCGGAUUUAUUGGGCGUAAAGCGAGCGCAGGCGGUUUCUUAAGUCUGAUGUGAAAGCCCCCGGCUCAACCGGGGAGGGUCAUUGGAACCUGGGAGACUGGAGUGCAGAAGAGGAGAGUGGAAUUCCAUGUGUAGCGGUGAAAUGCGUAGAUAUAUGGAGGAACACCAGUGGCGAAGGCGGCUCUCUGGUCUGUAACUGACGCUGAGGCUCGAAAGCGUGGGGAGCAAACAGG
rnacentral:rRNA from 1 species